rnacentral:lncRNA from 1 species
GACCUCAUCCGGGACUGGCAGCUCGCCUACGCCGACGGCCUCAAGAAGGCCGGCCAAUCCGUGAAGCUGCUUUACCUCUUGCAGGCCACCAUUGGCUUCUACCUCCUGCCCAACAACAACCAUUUCUUCGAGGUCAUGGAGGAGAUCAGGACCUUCUUGAGUUCUGAUUGCUGAUGAUGACUCGAGAUUAACUUACAGUUCCAGUCCCUCCCCUGCACAUAGCUGCCCGCCAUUACUGCUACUACUACUGCUACUGUUGCUGCUGGUCGCUCGCCCUGGUUGUCGAAGCCUUGGUCGCUGCACACGACGAUCGCCUCUUCCUGUUGGCCGGCGAGACCUUCAUCACCUUGUUCGGAGGCGGAAGCUCGAAGAACCCAAGCCUCCCUCAUCGCCGCCAAGGUCCGUUUUAUUCGCAGGCGGCGGAUGGCGGCAGCCUCAGGGGGCGGCGGCGCUUCCGGCACUAAUUUCAGGCCGCCCAGUUCCUUCUUCCUCCCCCCGCCGGGGGGAAGAAGAUCGUAGGCCAGGGUUUUACUCAUCUCACACCUGCGAUCUCUAUAAAUAUGUGUAUACUCUCUUCUCUGUUUGGGGUUUGAUUCGAGUGAGUUCUUAUAAUAGAAAUGUGUUGACUUCCUC